CCUACGGGAGGCAGCAGUAGGGAAUCUUCCGCAAUGGACGAAAGUCUGACGGAGCAACGCCGCGUGAACGAUGAAGGCCUUCGGGUCGUAAAGUUCUGUUGUCAGGGAAGAACAAGUAUCGGAGUAACUGCCGGUACCUUGACGGUACCUAACCAGAAAGCCACGGCUAACUACGUGCCAGCAGCCGCGGUAAUACGUAGGUGGCAAGCGUUGUCCGGAAUUAUUGGGCGUAAAGCGCGCGCAGGCGGUCCUUUAAGUCUGAUGUGAAAGCCCACGGCUCAACCGUGGAGGGUCAUUGGAAACUGGGGGACUUGAGUGCAGAAGAGGAAAGCGGAAUUCCACGUGUAGCGGUGAAAUGCGUAGAGAUGUGGAGGAACACCAGUGGCGAAGGCGGCUUUCUGGUCUGUAACUGACGCUGAGGCGCGAAAGCGUGGGGAGCAAACAGGAUUAGAUACCCUGGUAGUCCACGCCGUAAACGAUGAGUGCUAAGUGUUAGGGGGUUUCCGCCCCUUAGUGCUGCAGCUAACGCAUUAAGCACUCCGCCUGGGGAGUACGGCCGCAAGGCUGAAACUCAAAGGAAUUGACGG
rnacentral:rRNA from 1 species